GGUCGCGUGGCCCAAUGGGUAUGUGAAGUUCGAAUCCAACAAAGUAUCUCCAUCUUGCAAUAUCACUAAUAAGUGCACAGCAAGGCGUCUGACUACGAAUCAGGAGAUUCUGGGUUCGAUCCCCAGCGUGAUCA